AAGAAACGAACAUUUCCUCUCCGGGCCACCAGCAGCUCUUGGUUGGGCUGCUGGCGCCCCGGAGAACAAGUCAGUAGCCAAGAGCUGUUGGUGAACCAGAGAGGAAAUAAAACCGUCGGUGGUCUAAUUUGGCUAAUGUCCUUCAUCAGAUAGCCUCGAGUCUAACCCAAGCACUAGGCAACAGUGGCGCUUUUAUGGCUUUCUGACUGGUUACCUAACUUCCAUCUCUGGGCAUCGCUGUGGAGUCUUCCAGAAUCUCACAAUCCAGGAGGUUGAAGAGGCCUCCAGAAGCCCCGACGAGUCUGCUUAUGUCAUUAACAUUACCACGCACAAGACAAACAGAGCCUUCGGGGCGGCGCAGUUGUCCCUAAACAGGGAGGAAUACAGCUGGUUCCGCAGGUUCUUGGCGCUGCAGGCUGGUCUCCCUGGAGGGAGCCAGGCUACCUAUUUCUUUUUCACUUCCAGAGCCAGUCCUUGUCGGACCCUGAACAAGUACUUUCAGUCUGCUUGGAUCAGUAUGGGCCUUCCAGGCAAACCCACCUUUACUGAAGUAUGGACUGCGAUCGCGACCCAUGCAAAGAAUGCACACUCUUCAGAGGAUCGCCGCAAGGUGGCGCAAUUCAUGUGCCAUGACACUUCAACCUCAGAUAAGAGGAUGGGGAGGCAGCAGGCACUGAAAGCCCCCCGCGGAAAGGGCACAAGAGGACAGAGACUCCCGUCUCUCCCCUGGUAAAAUCAGAUUCUCUUUGGCGUGGACAGCAGAACGUGUGGCAUUGGCUAACUGCCCUUUAUGUGUCUCUUUUCCAGGAGGGAACCAGCAGGAGGACGCUGCCAUGGCGUCCUGCCAUGGCGUCCUGCCAGGGGAAAAAGCCAGGGCGCUCGCCCACUCGAACCAACAGAAGACUCUGAAUCGUCCUGAAUAAAUAUUGUACAACUUAACAGUCAAA